rnacentral:rRNA from 1 species
UUGAGUGCACCCUGCUGUUGCAGCGUCUUCAGUGUGAUAAGCAUCUUCACUGAACCAAGUCUUUUGUAGACACGCAAGCUUGCAGGCUCUGUGCUGGCCAACUGUCUUUGUACAAUAUUUGACAUCUGACCUCAAAUUGGGUGGGACUACCCGCUGAACUUUAAGCAUAUCAAUAAGCGGAGGAAAAGAAACUAACAAGGAUUCCCUUAGUAACGGCGAGUGAAGAGGGAAAAGCUCAAAUUUUAAAUCUGGUGUCUUUGGCGCCCGAGUUGUAAUCUAGAGAAGUGUUUUCUGCCUCGGACCACGCAUAAAUUCCCUGGAAUGGGGUGUCAUAGAGGGUGAGAAUCCCGUUUGUGGUGUGGACUACCUUGGCUCUGUGAUACACUCUCAACGAGUCGAGUUGUUUGGGAAUGCAGCUCAAAAUGGGUGGUAAAUUCCAUCUAAAGCUAAAUAUUGGCGAGAGACCGAUAGCGAACAAGUACCGUGAGGGAAAGAUGAAAAGCACUUUGGAAAGAGAGUGAAACAGCACGUGAAAUUGUUGAAAGGGAAGCGUUUGAAGUCAGUCGCAUUGGUCGGAACUCAGCUUGGCUUCUGCCUCCG